UACGAAGGGGGCUAGCGUUGCUCGGAAUGACUGGGCGUAAAGGGCGCGUAGGCGGAUUGUACAGUCAGGCGUGAAAUUCCCGGGCUCAACCUGGGGGCUGCGCUUGAGACGUGCGAUCUUGAGUGGGGAAGAGGGUCGUGGAAUUCCCAGUGUAGAGGUGAAAUUCGUAGAUAUUGGGAAGAACACCGGUGGCGAAGGCGGCCCCCUGGACAAAGACUGACGCUCAGGUGCGAAAGCGUGGGGAGCAAACAGG
rnacentral:rRNA from 1 species